rfam:Candidatus Atribacteria bacterium RBG_16_35_8 RBG_16_scaffold_7072, whole genome shotgun sequence.
GGACAGAACUCUGGAAAGUUUUUUAAUAAACACCGAAGGGGUAAUUUUUUGUUAUCUAUUACUAACAAAAAAAAUCUCUCAGGUAAUAAGACAGAGCAGAAAUA